GAACCUUCAGAUUUCAGAUUUGAUUAGGGUUUUAGCGUCUUCGGACCAGGCUUCAUUCCCCCCAAUUGUUGCUCCCUGUUUACUCCAUAUUUCUUCCUUCUUUUCAAAUUAGGGUUUCAGAUCCAGUGAAUGAACCCUUGUUAAAGGUUUGAUCUCUUACCUUACUUUCUCAGAUUCAUUUACAUGCGUUAUUGAUUGUUUGCAUGGAAAGAAAUAGUUCUCUUUUUUAAAUAGGUCUUUGGGGACCGAUAGAAAAAAAAAGUUUUCAGGUAUUUGCAGAUUGGUGUAAUGAUGAAAGAAUCUGACUUUCUUUCUCCUCUUGGAAUCUGAAAAGUUUCAUCAUGACAAACUUUUUAUACAUGUGUUUGUAUUUUUGAACUUUUCUACAUUGCUAUGAUUUUGCUAUGAUUGUUUCUUUUUGGAUCUUCAUGGUAUUGAAUGAUGAUGACGAUGAUAGUUUUUAUUCA
rnacentral:precursor_RNA from 1 species